AAACGGGAUUUCAACUCCCAACCCAAUGUGAACGUUACCAAACUGUUGCCUCGGCGGGAUCUCUGCCCCGGGUGCGUCGCAGCCCCGGACCAAGGCGCCCGCCGGAGGACCAACCUAAAACUCUUUUUGUAUACCCCCUCGCGGGUUUUUUAUAAUCUGAGCCUUCUCGGCGCCUCUCGUAGGCGUUUCGAAAAUGAAUCAAAACUUUCAACAACGGAUCUCUUGGUUCUGGCAUCGAUGAAGAACGCAGCGAAAUGCGAUAAGUAAUGUGAAUUGCAGAAUUCAGUGAAUCAUCGAAUCUUUGAACGCACAUUGCGCCCGCCAGUAUUCUGGCGGGCAUGCCUGUCCGAGCGUCAUUUCAACCCUCGAACCCCUCCGGGGGGUCGGCGUUGGGGAUCGGCCCUCCCUUAGCGGGUGGCCGUCUCCGAAAUACAGUGGCGGUCUCGCCGCAGCCUCUCCUGCGCAGUAGUUUGCACACUCGCAUCGGGAGCGCGGCGCGUCCACAGCCGUUAAACACCCAACUUCUGAAAUGUUGACCUCGGAUCAGGUAGGAAUACCCGCUGAACUUAAGCAUAUCAAUAAGGCGGAGGAA
rnacentral:rRNA from 1 species